GACGAACGCUGGCGGCGUGCUUAACACAUGCAAGUCGAACGGUGAAGCGAGUGCUUGCACUCGUGGAUCAGUGGCGAACGGGUGAGUAACACGUGAGUAACCUGCCCAUCACUCUGGGAUAAGCACUGGAAACGGUGUCUAAUACUGGAUACGACCAACCCUUGCAUGGGGUGUUGGUGGAAAGAUUUAUCGGUGAUGGAUGGACUCGCGGCCUAUCAGCUUGUUGGCGGGGUAAUGGCCCACCAAGGCGACGACGGGUAGCCGGCCUGAGAGGGUGACCGGCCACACUGGGACUGAGACACGGCCCAGACUCCUACGGGAGGCAGCAGUGGGGAUUACUGCACAAUGGGCGAAAGCCUGAUGCAGCGACGCCGCGUGAGGGAUGACGGCCUUCGGGUUGUAAACCUCUUUCAGCAGGGAAGAAGCGAAAGUGACGGUACCUGCAGAAGAAGCACCGGCUAACUACGUG
rnacentral:rRNA from 1 species